GACGAACGCUGGCGGCGUGCUUAACACAUGCAAGUCGAACGAAGUGGCGGACGGGUGAGUAACGCGUAAUCAACCUGCCCUUCAGAGGGGGACAACAGUUGGAAACGACUGCUAAUACCGCAUACGGAUGGAGGGGAUUGGGUGUGCUUGGCUAGUUGGAGGGGUAACGGCCCACCAAGGCGAUGAUCAGUAGCCGGUCUGAGAGGAUGAACGGCCACAUUGGGACUGCGGCACGGCCCAGACUUCUACGGGAGGCAGCAGUGGGGAAUCUUCCGCAAUGGACGAAAGUCUGAAGGAGCAACGCCGCGGGAGUGAUGACGGCCUUCGGGUUGUAAAGCUCUGUUAAUCGGGACGCGGUACCGGAAUAGAAAGCCACGGCUAACUACGUGCCAGCAGCCGCGGUAAUUC
rnacentral:rRNA from 1 species